rnacentral:rRNA from 1 species
AUUGAACGCUGGCGGCAGGCUUAACACAUGCAAGUCGAGCGGAGCGAGGGUGCUUGCACCUUAGCUUAGCGGCGGACGGGUGAGUAAUGCUUAGGAAUCUGCCUAUUAGUGGGGGACAACAUUCCGAAAGGAAUGCUAAUACCGCAUACGCCCUACGGGGGAAAGCAGGGGAUCUUCGGACCUUGCGCUAAUAGAUGAGCCUAAGUCGGAUUAGCUAGUUGGUGGGGUAAAGGCCUACCAAGGCGACGAUCUGUAGCGGGUCUGAGAGGAUGAGCCGCCACACUGGGACUGAGACACGGCCCAGACUCCCACGGGAGGCAGCAGUGGGGAAUAUUGGACAAUGGGCGGAAGCCUGAUCCAGCCAUGCCGCGUGUGUGAAGAAGGCCUUUUGGUUGUAAAGCACUUUAAGCGAGGAGGAGGCUACUUAGAUUAAUACUCUGGGAUAGUGGACGUUACUCGCAGAAUAAGCACCGGCUAACUCUGUGCCAGCAGCCGCAGUAACAC